AAAUUGAUUAAUCUAGCUUAAUGGUUGAAGAGGCAGAAAUCAUGAAAUAAAGAAAGUCAACACACUUUCCUAAAAACAAUUGUAAGAUGGAAAAAUAAAAACACAUAAAUAAAAGUACAAAAAAGUUACAAAUAGCCAAUCCUUAAAGCAUAAGAAAUAUGUAGUGAUUGGAGAAGACAUGCCAAAAAUUAGCCACUCUUUAAAUGAAAAAGUACAAAAAAAAAAGAGC
rnacentral:lncRNA from 1 species